rnacentral:piRNA from 1 species
UAAUAGUGCUUAUCAACUUGGUUGGAUUGA